UACGAGGGGGGCAAGUGUUGUUCGGAAUUACUGGGCGUAAAGGGCGCGUAGGCGGCCAACUAAGUCAGACGUGAAAUCCCCAGGCUCAACCUGGGAACUGCGUCUGAUACUGGAUGGCUUGAGUUCGGGAGAGGGAAGUGGAAUUCCAGGUGUAGCGGUGAAAUGCGUAGAUAUCUGGAGGAACACCGGUGGCGAAGGCGGCUUCCUGGACCGACACUGACGCUGAGGCGCGAAAGCCAGGGGAGCAAACGGG
rnacentral:rRNA from 1 species